rnacentral:lncRNA from 1 species
UAGGGCUGUGCUCAGUCUGAUGGGGACACGAAGACCUAUAGGACUUAACUCCUGACCUGGUGAUCCUUGGGUAGAAACCACAGAACUCAUGAAAUGCUGACUGUGGGCACUAGAUGUAAUGCAACUGUGUAGUUCCCCCUGGCGAGGGCUCGAGACAGCAGAAAUUUUGGGGUGGGAGGAAGGAGAGACUCAAGUGUGUAGGAAGGGUUUCGGGGAGGAACUAAGACUUGUGCUGGGCCCCAGAUACUGACAGGAUCUAGAAAGAUAGGAGGAGAGGAAUUCCAAGAGAGAACAGCAUGUGCAAAGGUCUGGAAAUGGGAAAUAGUGAGACGGCUUUCUGCUGGAGGCUCCGUUAGAAGAGUUCUAGAACGCACAGGGUGGGAGAAGCCCGGCGACAGGAGCUAGUGCAUGCCGGCUGUGGGGUCCAUGCUUCCUCUAGGAUCCUGGAACCCUGCAGGCCCUGGUGGGAAUCUGGGGUGUUGGUGACUGGAACCCCGCAGUAGACUGAGACUGCGUUGCCUUCUGAUGUGGCGGGAGCAGGACUGUGUAGCCUUGGGCAGUUUGCCUCUGCUCAGAGCCAGAUUGUCUUCCCUCUGUGAAACAGGGAAGAGUUCCCCCAGCCUACCUUUCAGGACCAGGUCCUGCCUCAGAGCCUUCCCUGACCACCCAAGCCCUGAGAGUGAGGAAGGAAGGGCUUGGC